rnacentral:lncRNA from 1 species
CUUCAGCGUCCUCGCGUGCAGAUCCCUGCGUGGUCCAGGGCCUGGCUUUUCCGCGGAGGGUGACGCUUCCCUCAGACCCUCAGGGGACAGUGGCGGGUUCCCCAGCCCAAGUGCCCCCAACUCCCAGGCGGACUGGAAGGGGCUCCUCGGGUCUCACUAUGUAGCCCAAGCUGACCUCGAACUCGUGGCGAUCCUCCUGCCUCAGCCUCCCGAGUACUGGGGCUACGGCCAUGCACCACCGCAUCCCGCUCCUCCCUCCAUUUUAAAUUCUAACCGGCCCCCUUUCAAACUCAUCCCACCAUCCACAACCCCUGCUUCCUAUGGCCUGGGUCCCUACUCCCCUCUACUCCGAAUAGCUCCCUGACCCCCAAUAACCUGGGCAAAGGAAAGGAGACUCCCAGAACUGCUUCAGAAAGUGGCAAGGGAGGGGCAGGUUUUGAGGGGGACUCAUAGCAAUGCCUUUUAC